UACAGAGGUCCCGAGCGUUUGUUCGGAUUUAUUGGGCGUAAAGGGUGCGUAGGCGGCGGAGUAAGUUGGGUGUGAAAUCCCGGGGCUCAACCCCGGAACUGCACUUGAUACUGCAGUGCUCGAGGACUGGAGAGGAGAUCGGAAUUCAUGGUGUAGCAGUGAAAUGCGUAGAUAUCAUGAGGAAGACCAGUGGCGAAGGCGGAUCUCUGGACAGUUCCUGACACUGAGGCACGAAGGCCAGGGGAGCAAACGGG
rnacentral:rRNA from 1 species